CUCUUAAAACUUCCCAUCCAAGAAAGAAAUAAUCCUUCCGUUUCUCCAAACUUCUUUGGAUCAGAAUUCUUUCGUCAACCAUGAAGAAAUCAGGGCUCUUAGCUGCCUCAGUCGUCGCCGCCUCUGCUUCUUCCACUUUCACUUGUAACUCCAAUUUUCAGUUUUCCAGUGAGGACAAGAAAGAAGAUGUGAAAUCUUCUGCAAACAAGAAAUCAACUUCAACUGAGAAAUUUGCACCCAGGUUUGAUGGGUUGAGGUUCAUUGAGACUUUGGUCACCGCUCAUCGGUGAACAAAACAAAGCUUGGUAACCACAAGCUUCAAAUUUUUUCUUAAAACUUGAUAAAGAAUUUUAACUAUUUUU